GACGAACGCUGGCGGCGUGCUUAACACAUGCAAGUCGAACGGACAGACCCUGCUUUUGUGCGUUUCUCGUGAGGCGAGCGGGUGAGUAUCACGCGAGUAACCUCCCCUUGUCUUUCUGAUAACUUUUGGAAACUGGGGCUAAUACCGGAUAGGAUCUCUUGCUGCAUGGUGUGGGUUGGAGAGUGUCGGCGGUUGUGGAUGGACUCGCUGCUUAUCAGCUGGUUAGUGUGGUAGUCGCGUACCAAGGCUUUGACGGGUAGCCGGCCUGAGAGGGUUACCGGCCACAUUGGGACUGCGAUACGGACCAGACUCGUACGGGACGCAGUAGUGGAGAAUAUUGCGCAAUGGGCGGAAGCCUGAUGCAGCAACGCCGCGUGCGGGAUGACGGCCUUCGGGUUGUAAACCGCUUUCGCCUGUGACGAAGCCUGCGUGACGGUAAUGGGUAAAGAAGCAACGGCUAACUACGUG
rnacentral:rRNA from 1 species